UGGCGAUCGAAAAGAUUAAGCCAUGCAUGUCUCAGUGCAGGCCUUUAUACGGUGAAACCGCGAAUGGCUCAUUAAAUCAGCUAUGGUUUAUUGGAUCGUACCCGUUAAAUGGAUAACUGUAACAACUCUAGAGCUAAUACAUGCCUCGAUGCCCAGACCCGUCUGUUGCAGGUGAAGACCUGUAGACUUGGGGGAAUGGGUGCACUUAUUAGAUCAGAAGCCAACCAGUUGUGUCUGGCGGUUGCUGGCUCGCCGGUGACUGUUGGGUGCGCUGUAGAACUUCUGGUGACUCUGGAUAAUUGUUACAGAUCGCAGUCGGCCUUGAGUCGGCGACGGGUCCUUCAAAUGUCUGCCCUAUCAACUUUCGAUGGUAGGUGACCUGCCUACCAUGGUGAUAACGGGUAACGGGGAAUCAGGGUUCGAUUCCGGAGAGGGAGCCUGAGAAACGGCUACCACUUCCAAGGGAGGCAGCAGGCGCGCAAAUUACCCACUCCCAGCACGGGGAGGUGGUGACGAAAAAUACCGAUGCGGGACUCCUUAAUGAGGCUCCGUAAUCGGAAUGAGUGAAUUUUAAAUCCUUUCACGAGGAUCAAUUGGAGGGCAAGUCUGGUGCCAGCAGCCGCGGUAACUCCAGCUCCAAUAGCGUAUAUUAAAGUUGCUGCAGUUAAAAAGCUCGUAGUUGGAUCUCGGUAGCAUUGCUGUCUGCGGAUAAUUGGGCGGCAGUGUGUGACUGUUGGCGGGCGUGCGUGCAGGCAGGCAGUGAGGUAGACACGCGUCGUUCUUCUCUACCUAAGCUUGGGCUGCAAUGUCCUAGCGGUGGUUGGUGGCGACGUUGUGUGUGCUCUGCUGUCCUCGUCGUUGUCGUCGUCGUCGCUGCGGUCAUCGAUUAACGCUGUCGUAUCAAGUCCGCAAGGCUGCGGUGUCACCUUUAAGCCAUGUCUGUGGUCUUGCAUUGGCCUCAGGUGUAGGCGGGUGUCGGGCGGCGCUCUGCACUAGUGUGGGGCCUAGUCGGCUCGUCUGCAUGCCUUUGGAUGCCCUUAAAAAGGUGUCUGCGGGCGGAUGGCACGUUUACUUUGAACAAAUUUGAGUGCUCAAAUCAGGCCGAUGUUGCCUGAAAAGUUUUGCAUGGAAUAAUGGAAUAGGACUUCGGUUCUAUUUCGCUGGUUUUCGGAUCCGAAGUAAUGAUCAAAAGAGACAGGCGGGGACGUUUGUAUGGCUGCGCUAGAGGUGAAAUUCAUUGACCGUAGCCAGACAAACUAAAGCGAAAGCAUUCGUCAAGCAUGUUUUCAUUGGCCAUGAGCGAAAGUCAGAGGCUCGAAGACGAUCAGAUACCGUCCUAGUUCUGACCAUAAACGAUGCCAACUGACGAUCCGUGGUGGUAGUUCUUCAACCUUCCCCACGGGCAGUCUCCGGGAAACCUUUAAGUCUUUGGGUUCCGGGGGAAGUAUGGUUGCAAAGCUGAAACUUAAAGGAAUUGACGGAAGGGCACCACCAGGAGUGGAGCCUGCGGCUUAAUUUGACUCAACACGGGAAAACUCACCCGGGCCGGACACUAUGAGGAUUGACAGAUUGAUAGCUCUUUCUUGAUUUGGUGGUUGGUGGUGCAUGGCCGUUCUUAGUUGGUGGAGCGAUUUGUCUGGUUAAUUCCGAUAACGAACGAGACUCCAGCCUGCUAAUUGGUGCGUUUGUCCACUGUACCUGUGCGGGUGGCAUUGGACCGGAUUGCUGAUGGUUGUACCCUCGUUCGGUUUGCCUUCGUCGGCACUGACAGCUGCUGCUACUGCUGCCGCCGCCGCCGCCGCUGCUGCGUUAUGCGUAGUUGGUUGGUUGGCUGGCUGGCUGGUUGGCUAGUUGGUUGGCUGGUUGUCAGUCUGUCUGGCUGAUUGGCUUGCCGGCGUGGGUGCUUCAAGCUGUCGGUCGGUCAGUCCAGUGUUAGCCUCCGGGUGCGGCGCGAAUGCUUACUUCUUAGAGGGACAAACGGGAGAAGCCGCAUGAGAUAGAGCAAUAACAGGUCUGUGAUGCCCUUAGAUGUCCGGGGCCGCACGCGCGCUACAAUGGCGGUGUCAGCGAGUCAGACCUUCUGACCCGAAAGGGUUGGGUAAACUGGUCAAUCACCGUCAUGACAGGGAUCGGGGCUUGGAAUUGUUCCCCGUGAACGAGGAAUUCCUAGUAAGUGCAAGUCAUAAGCUUGCGCUGAUUACGUCCCUGCCCUUUGUACACACCGCCCGUCGCU
rnacentral:rRNA from 1 species